rnacentral:rRNA from 1 species
GACGAACGCUGGCGGCGUGCUUAACACAUGCAAGUCGAACGGAAAGGCCCCAGCUUGCUGGAGUACUCGAGUGGCGAACGGGUGAGUAACACGUGUGUAAUCUGCCCUGCACUCUGGGAUAAGCCUGGGAAACUGGGUCUAAUACUGGUUAUGACCUUUCUCCUUAUGGGGUUUGGUGGAAAGUUUUUCGGUGUAGGAUGAGCCCGCGGCCUAUCAGCUUGUUGGUGGGGUGAUGGCCUACCAAGGCGACGACGGGUAGCCGGCCUGAGAGGGUGAUCGGCCACAUUGGGACUGAGAUACGGCCCAGACUCCUACGGGAGGCAGAAGUGGGGAAUAUUGCACAAUGGGCGGAAGCCUGAUGCAGCGACGCCGCGUGAGGGAUGACGGCCUUCGGGUUGUAAACCGCUUUCAGCAGGGACGAAGCGUAAGUGACGGUACCUGCAGAAGAAGCACCGGCUAACUAUGUG